rnacentral:rRNA from 1 species
UACAGAGGGUGCAAGCGUUAAUCGGAAUUACUGGGCGUAAAGCGUGCGUAGACGGUUACAUAAGUCGGGUGUGAAAGCCCCCGGGCUCAACCUGGGAAUUGCAUUCGAGACUGCGUAGCUAGGGUGCGGAAGAGGGAAGCGGAAUUCCACGUGUAGCAGUGAAAAUGCGUAGAGAUGUGGAGGAACACCGAUGGCGAAGGCAGCCUCCUGGGCCAGCACUGACGCUCAUGCACAAAAGCGUGGGGG